UGUAGUAAAAAGUGUAAAAAGUUUGAGAAACACUGCACUAGAAGAUUUCCAAGGUUGCUUGCCAUUUACACUCCAGUCCUGUUGGUGGCAAUGGUGCACAUGAAGCUGUUUAGUGAAUGAUGAAGGGAAAAACAAGAACAACAAAGAAGAAGUGGAGCACAGUUAAAAGAACAAACAUUGGGGGGCAGUAAUGUGUCAAUACAGUGUUUCUUCUGCCGAGUACAGAAGAGAAGAAGAGCUGGGCACUGCUGCAGCAUGUGAUGUUAACGCCAGCUCGUGGAGAGCCGUGCUUUUGUUUUAGUCAUUGUAAAAUGUCUCUCUCCACGUGUCUGUGUUUGCUGAGUUCAACAUGAAGCUGCACCUCAGCACAGGAUCAGGCCUGACCUGACUCAUCAUGGAGGAGCUCCAGACCUCCAUGUGGAGGACAGAGUCACAUAAAGAGCAUUUGUAGAGAUAUGCAUGUGCAUGGAGAGGGUGCAGUACUGCAAGGCUCAGUCAUGCCACUCGUCACCAAACGCUGGUCCAAUGAAACGAGGAUGCAUCGACUGACCUCCAGACUUUGAAGGAAGGUCUGAGGAUGGACAAGAAGUGUCUCCUGAGGCAGGAACCUAACAAAAGUACACUGUCAGCUUCUUCACUCAUGCUCCACCAUGGAAAGCAGUGUCUGCCAGUGGAUCAUUCUCACUAAAAGUCAUGGAUGUACUUCACUUUUCUGUUUAUAAUAAACUUAUAACUGUA